rnacentral:tRNA from 2 species
GCCAAUGUAGCUCAGCGGUAGAGCAGCCGAUUCGUAAUCGGCAGGUCGUCGGUUCAAAUCCGACCAUUGGCUCCA